rnacentral:lncRNA from 1 species
UCAGAUUUGUGCAAAGUGGUAAAAUUAGGUGAAGAGAGGAAAGUAAAUGGAAAAGGUGUGAUGUGAUAAUUGAUGGAUGUGACCAGCAAAUGGACGAUACGACGUAAGGACGGUGCAAAAAUUAGAGGCAUGCCAUGCAAACAAUGAUGGUACAUUGCCCAAAUGAGGGCGGUACGCCGCCCAAGUUGGUGGUGCCAGCUGUCAAAA